GAUGAACGCUGGCGGCGUGCCUAAUACAUGCAAGUCGAGCGAACAGACGAGGAGCUUGCUCCUCUGACGUUAGCGGCGGACGGGUGAGUAACACGUGGAUAACCUACCUAUAAGACUGGGAUAACUUCGGGAAACCGGAGCUAAUACCGGAUAAUAUAUUGAACCGCAUGGUUCAAUAGUGAAAGACGGUUUUGCUGUCACUUAUAGAUGGAUCCGCGCCGCAUUAGCUAGUUGGUAAGGUAACGGCUUACCAAGGCAACGAUGCGUAGCCGACCUGAGAGGGUGGUCGGCCACACUGGAACUGGGACACGGUCCAGACUCCUACGGGAGGCAGCAGUAGGGAAUCUGCCGCAAUGGGCGAAAGCCUGACGGAGCAACGCCGCGUGAGUGAUGAAGGUCUUCGGAUCGUAAAACUCUGUUAUUAGGGAAGAACAAAUGUGUAAGUAACUAUGCACGUCUUGACGGUACCUAAUCAGAAAGCCACGGCUAACUACGUG
rnacentral:rRNA from 1 species